GAGGAAAGUCCGGGCUCCAUAGGGCAGGGUGCCAGGUAACGCCUGGGGGGGAAGCCCACGACCAGUGCAACAGAGAGCAAACCGCCGAUGGCCCACGCACGUGGGAUCAGGUAAGGGUGAAAGGGUGCGGUAAGAGCGCACCGCGCGGCUGGUAACAGUCCGUGGCACGGUAAACUCCACCCGGAGCAAGGCCAAAUAGGGGUUCAUAAGGUACGGCCCGUACUGAACCCGGGUAGGCUGCUUGAGCCAGUGAGCGAUUGCUGGCCUAGAUGAAUGACUGUCCACGACAGAACCCGGCUUA
rnacentral:RNase_P_RNA from 1 species